GAUUACAGGCACGCGCCACCACUCCCAGAUCUUCACUUCAGGUCAGCUCCAAGGAGGCUAUCCUUGCCCAUCUUCCUAAAAUAGAGCUCUCAAAACCUGGCUGUUUUCCUUCAGAGCACUGGCCUCCAAUUUAAAUCCCAAGCAAGGUACCUGCCGUCAGCAGAUUUGAGCUUUCUUCUUGGACACCUAAUACCCACAGUCCUCCAGGCUCCGGUAGAUUGCAAAUGACCUGCUUUCUUUCUGUUCCCGGGCUGCGUUCGGACCCCUGUCGGAUAGUAACUCCCAAGCUCCGGUAGAUUGCAAAUGACCUGCUUUCUUUCUGUUCCCGGGCUGCGUUCGGACCCCUGUCGGAGAGUAAAUCCGAAGUAAGAAAAACAAACAAAGACAUGGAUUUACUGUGCAUAUUAGCAGAUCCAUACUGGAAAAUGCAUGGAGGUUUCAUAUACACCACUUACAGGUUUCCAAAGCCACAAUUUCCUUCAUAUGUUCAAACUCUUCAGGAUGCAGAAAGGCAGUGAACUCCUCCGGAGUAGCUGUCAGGUCACCAUUGAGGUCUGCAGCUUUGAAUCUUCUCUCAUCACGUGGCAGCAUCUUUUUAAAGGUUUUCAGCUCCUCAGUAGUGACAAAGCCAUACCCAUCAUUGUCGAUUCGAUCAACAAUCUUCCCUAGCCUCUCCUUGCUCUCGUCCGGGGUGAGCUCGUCGAAGUUCUUGGAGUCCUCCUUGCCCAGGAAGGCCUCGUGGUCGUACUGGAAGCUCUGGUUGUCCUCAGGGGGCCGCUCGCCCAGCUCCGAGUCGGGCCGCACCACGCGCUCUUUGCGCACCGUGGGCUUGGCCCGCAGAACCCGCGGCGCCAGCACCAGCGCCAGCAGCAGCCCCAGGGCUAACCCCAGGCGGCCACCGCGCGCCAUCGUCCCGAGGAGAGGGCGGCCGGGAGGGAGACGCUGAGCGAGCGACAACAGCGGCAGCUCGGGAAUGGGGGCUCGGAGCGCGGCGGCCAAGUUUUAUGUUAUGUAUAUUUUACAAGUAAAAAAAUUUUUUCACCUCAGCCUGAACUGAACACUAGCUGACAGACGUUUUGAUUUCUUUGACCAUCACGGAAUCGUGGCCAAGCGCGGUGGCUCACAUCUGUAAUCCCAACACUUUGGGAGGUCAAGAUGGGCGGAUUGCUUGAAUCCAGGUGUUUGAGAUCAGCCUGGGCAACAUGACAAAACCCUGUUUCUAGUAAAAAUACAAAAAUUAACCAGGCUCAAGCCAUGACCAUGCACCAUUGCACUCCAGCCUAGGCGACAGAGCAGGACCCUGUCUCAAAAAAAAAAAAAAAAAAAAAAAAAAAAAAGAAGAAGAAAUCUCAGCAGGCUGAGAUGGAACUCAUUCUUCUCAUGAAGAACGUGGCAAGCAUUAUACAGAGGGGCCAUAGUCUGGAAAGCAGGAGAUGCUUACAGACAUAUAAGUUGUUUCCAGUGUUUUGCUCUUGGUACUCAUGGUUCCACUAUUUACAUCAACCUUUUGAGAAACAUAUUUAUACACUGUCUUAUACUUCCCUCCUUUGCUACAGAAUGAAUCUACUUGUAACCUACCAAAAAUUUACCCUGUCACAUUUCCCCAGCUGCUGGUUUAAAAAUAAAUAUCCUGGAUUUAAAGCCAAUUGUGUCUAACAGGUGCCACCAUCCAAGUGAGGAUUUCACUGUUCACAGGCAUUUGAGACACACCAGCGGCCGGCGGUUCUCACUGCUCUUCAUAUGGAGGCAACCAUAUAUGGGUAAGUCAUUUAGUCUCUUAGGUAGGCGAACUGAGGCCAAUCUCCCCACUUUUAGGGCUGUGAAACUGUUCUGUAUGAUACAAUAAUGGUGGAUAUGCGUCACUAUACAUUCGUCCAAAUCCACAGAAUGUACAACACCAAGAGUGAACCCUACUGUAAACUAUGGACUCUGAGUGACAAUGAUGCAUCAAAUAGGUUCAUCAGUUGUAAUAAAUGCACUGCUCUGGUGCAGAAUGUUGAUGAUGGAGGAGACAGGGGUACAUGGGAAUCUCCGUACCUUCCAUUCAAUUUUGCUAAAACUACUCUAAAAAAUAAAAUUAAAGAAAAAAAAAAGCUCCCCUCUUUCCCCAGUUUUACGAUUUAUUUAUGCUUUGUGAAAUGGAGUCUCACUCUUGACUCCCAGGCUGGAGUGCAGUGAUCUCAGCUCAAUGCAACCUCCACCUCCCGGGUUCAAGAGAUUCUCCUGCUUCAGCCUCCUGAGAGGCUGGGAUUACAGGCGCAUGGCACCAUGCCCAGCUAAUUUUUGUAUUUUUAGUAGAGAUGGGGUUUCACUAUGUUGGCCAGGCCAGUCUCGAGCUCCUGAACUCAAGUGAUCUACCGUACCCGGCCCCCAAUGUUAGUUUUUAAAUAAACGACUAUGUUUAAUUCACAUGCUAACAGGCACCUAGAGAAUACUUUCAAGUAAAAAGAUUAAUGAACCCACUUCGCAUUGAGUUAGCUGGUUGUUUUCUGCCAACCAGGUGUCCCUGCCUGGUCCACAGUUGACCAAGGAUCCCUGCAUCUGCCUCUAGCAACACCCAACACUGUAUGAAGGGCUGAGGGGGUCUGACAGUUCACGUCACUGACAUCCUCUCACUGGUAUUUCGAAUGCCAAGCCAGCCCUCAAAUCAAGUUCACUGGCCUCGACUGAGCUGCCAAGUAUUUCAUACAUGGGGAGGGGGGUUGGGGGGGGGGAGGGUAGGGGGAUCACACAGGUGCCAGGCAAUGAGUAAGAUUAUCCCAGCAACUUCUCCAUGCAGAGAGAAAUGUCUGCAGCUGCAACACUAUUUCUACUCCAGCCUUCUAGACUCCAUGUAGUUUGCCUUUGUUUGAAUGUUUCUAUUUAUCUGAAAUAACCAGAAAUCAUUUUUAUUAUUAUAUAUUACUCCAGUUUAUUAAAUAAAUGAAACAAGGCUUAUGCCACAUAUUCCAACAAUGUUUAAAUAAAGAGCUUGAAAUAUAAAGGCUUAUGAAAACUUCAUACUCUUUAUAUAAUGCAUACUAUUUCUAGCACAUGAAUAAAUAUAAAGGACAGGAGCCACUUUUUAUAUUAUGAAUCCACAACAUUAAGCAUCAAUGAUUACACAAAUCCAUAAGCACACAAACAAAAAAACCCAUUGGUUAUAAAAACUAGAAUUCCUUUUGGCAUAUUUAAGAAAACCCAAAGGUGGGGAGGUACUUAUAGCCAGAACCCUGACAACGAGGGGACCAAGUCUCCCAAUUCCUUAAGUUGUUUCUUGGUUAGAAGCUUCAACAAUUGCAUUAACUCUUUCAAAAAAACAGAAAAAGCAGGUUAAGAUCCUGUUCAAUAAGGCACUUAAUAAGUCUACACUGAAGAAAUACUAUGCUUUUAUCUUAAAUCGUGCUUAAGUUUUACCAUGAGGUUUGAAUUUCUUUCCACCUUGGUAGGAACAUGUAUGUAAUUUGAAUAAACUGGUAAUAAUACUGUCUGACAUUCGCUCUUUACAUGGUCAUUAAAAUGAAUUUGCUUCUACUGUUUUAAAAAUUGUAUGCAUAUUUGAAAAAGUAAAAUUUUUCUACAUUAAAAAAAGAGCAUUUCAAGAAAAGCAAUCUUUAAACUCAAAGAACUCAAAAGUGAAAGCCUCUCUAUAGAAAGUCUUUAUAAAAUCAAUGGAAUGUUUUGGAAAGAAGAAAAAAUCCUAAGGUGUAGUUUAGAACAAGCAGCAAGGCCUGAAUGAGCUCUGGGGUCCUCUGCUGCCCUCUAGGGUUGCCCAGGGAGAGCUGGACUUUCAUCUGAGUCUCAGCAAUUAACAGGUAACCCUACCCCACUGCACCCCGCCCCCGCCCCCACCUUCUGUUAUCCUCUCUUUUUGAUGACUUUGUCUUAGCUCUCACUUUUGGAAAUAAUAUUCAAAGGGACCAUUCAUGCAUAAGGAAGGCAAGGGAAAAAUGCCUGCGAGGAAAAAUUAUCUCAUCCUCCAAAAAAACCUGCAGUCCUUCUAUUCAGUCUCAACAAAGAGACUGGCCAGACUGGGAAUUUGGCCGCACUACUGUGGAAGGAGAAUGCCCUGGAGCCCCAGCUAACAUGUAUUUAAUGUUGUUCUCAAAGGGGGAACUGAAGAGACCCAAAUAAAUAUGUUCCCUGUCCUGUGGCUGCCUCCCAGAAGUGGAAGUUCUUGGGGUUCUCACAGUCAUCUUUUAUUUUGAAAAGACUAAGAUGAAGACAAGAAGGAAGAGGGCUCUUUCUCUGAAGCAGGUUAGAGUAAAGAAUAAGAAAAUAGAAAAAGAAAAAAAGAAGAGGGAGAAUGACUUAUUGUGUCUACAGAAGGAAAGAAAAAGGGAAAAUAUUACAUACCACCUAUCAGAAACUAGCUAAAUAGAUGCACUAAAGAAAUCAUUUUUAAAAUUUCAAGCAGGUAUUUUCCAUCCAAACUAAACAGAAAGUCCAAGACAGGCACAACAUAAACUAAAGUAAAAACUGGAAACCUGGAAAAAUCAACUCUUUGAUUCACUACCAACAUUUUGCUAAGGAAAAUGUACUAAAGCCUGAACUUAUACAGUGUUCUUUCUUCAACAAGACCUUAACAAAGGGCUUCAUUCACAAUUACCAUGAGAAGCCCAUGAGAACAUGCCCCUCUUCUACAUAGACUGUUUAGAGCUGUUCCACAGCAUGAUGUAAACACAUUUACCUUUCCAGUCAAGUAGCAGCAGCUACUAUUUGUUCUUCAUUUGACCCUCUACAUCAAUAGACGUUAUUAUCCCCAUUUUACUCAUUGAGAAAUACAUAUGCUUUGCUAAAAAUCAUAAAGCUAAUUACUAACAUGACCUAAGACAGAACCUAAGCUGCUUGAAAACACCCCCCACCAAUACAGACCUUGCAACCUUCAAAGCCAACACAUAACACCACCACGAAUUUAGAGAUUAUUACUUUGUAACAAUUUCUCACAAAUGUCAAGUCUUCAAAGCUUAAAAUCACUUAUUAUAAGUGGAAGAUCCUGCCAAAAUAGGAAAUGAUAAAGCAGUGUGAUAUUCCUAGGAUCCAUUUCCUGCACCGUUUAUACCUGGGGUUGAACAGUCCAGGUCUCCAUACAUGAAAUUUCUUCAGUUGACAAGGAGCAAAAUCUCCCAGAAAUUCAGAAACCAUAACACCUUCUCGGAGGCUCCAUUCCAUGGUUCCAGUGAGCUUUUCUAGAGCAGUCUGAUUCUCAGUCAUGAGCUGAGAUGCAUCAGGAGCUACUCUCCCUGAAUAAAACAAUACAUCGCUCCUGAUUUUCUUGCAAGUUUUCUUUAGCAAGAAACAUGCAUUUCACAUAUUAUCUUUGAUGUUGAAGGGCACUUCAGUGGUAAAGACUAGUGUUUGGAUGUUAGUUUAUGCCAUUAAACGUUUGAUGAAGAGCAUCCAAUGCCAACACACAGCAAUCUCAACUAACCCAGUCUUCAUCUGUUGCUCACAUCCCAGAAUCUGUGAUGAGCCAAGCAGUGAGAAGCAGAGUGAAACACAGGAAGCUUUGCUGUUUCAGAAGUUACCAUUUUCAGAAAG
rnacentral:lncRNA from 1 species